rnacentral:rRNA from 1 species
GGUGUGGCUCAGGACGAACGCUGGCGGCGUGCUUAACACAUGCAAGUCGAGCGGUAAGGCCCUUCGGGGUACACGAGCGGCGAACGGGUGAGUAACACGUGAGCAACCUGCCCCUGACUCCGGGAUAAGCGGUGGAAACGCCGUCUAAUACCGGAUAUGACACACCAUCUCCUGGUGGUGUGUGGAAAGUUUUGUCGGUCAGGGAUGGGCUCGCGGCCUAUCAGCUAGUUGGUGGGGUAAAGGCCUACCAAGGCGAUUACGGGUAGCCGGCCUGAGAGGGCGACCGGCCACACUGGGACUGAGACACGGCCCAGACUCCUGCGGGAGGCAGCAGUGGGGAAUAUUGCACAAUGGGCGAAAGCCUGAUGCAGCGACGCCGCGUGGGGGAUGACGGCCUUCGGGUUGUAAACCUCUUUUACCACCAACGCAGGCCCCGGGUUCUCUCGGGGUUGACGGUAGG